GACUGGGCUUCUUUUCAACAGCGGCCUCCGGCACCUUGUCUGUUGUUAUGGGAAUGAGGUUUUACAACUCCAAAAAGGCAAUGCCCGGGAUAAUUGCCGGUGCCAGUUUACUGAUGGUUGGACGGCUUGGAUUGCAGAUGAUGGAAAAAACCUAUUAAGUCAUAAAUCUGCAUCAAGUGACUUGAAGACACAUGACUGAGAAGCCCAAGAAUGCAACUGCUGAAAUGUGCUGCACAUAAGUGGAAAAGACACUGCUACCUGUGCAUUGUAUUUUUCAUAUCCUAAUGCACACAGGUUGUGUUUUUAAAGGACCGACAUAGAGAGCCCUUGUAUUUGUCUUAACAUUUUCUGCACUGAAAGCAAGCAAGAAAAUAGAGUACAGCAUUAGUUUAGCUUCUGGUCCUGCAGCUUACUGUCAGCAAAGACCUGCUGGCCUUUGCAUUCAGAUAGUUGCAGGAUUGAAGCUUAAUUGCACAUCUAACUUGUCCUUCUGAAAUCCUGUAUACCUCUAAAACCAGGGGAGAGGAGUUGCAAUUUGUCACUAAUUAAUUAAUUAAACUGAGUAAUUAAUGCAAUAAACGUGCUUAUGAUGUUCCAUCUCCCUUUCCAUGGCAGUUUAUCCAUUCACAGUGUUUGUCAGUCAGGGAGUUUGUUCUCCCAGCACUGCGUGUUGGAACCUGGUCCCACAAAACACAAUCACAGAGCCAGCUGUCAAGGCUCUGCUGUAAUGCAAUAAAUGCAUACCCAUGCCUUGCAAUCACCUGUAAGCUCAGCUAUAUGUCAUUCAUUUCACUUUUACAGAUUACUACUCAUAAAUCAAAAAUAUGCUUUAUUAGGUAAUGCUGAAUUGUAGGCACAGCUUUAUUAAAAUGUUAUUUUAAAUAAAGUAAUAAAUUAUUAUUGCAAA